AGUCGUAACAAGGUUUCCGUAGGUGAACCUGCGGAAGGAUCAUUAAAGAGUAAGGGUGCUCAGCGCCCGACCUCCAACCCUUUGUUGUUAAAACUACCUUGUUGCUUUGGCGGGACCGCUCGGUCUCGAGCCGCUGGGGAUUCGUCCCAGGCGAGCGCCCGCCAGAGUUAAACCAAACUCUUGUUAUUUAACCGGUCGUCUGAGUUAAAAUUUUGAAUAAAUCAAAACUUUCAACAACGGAUCUCUUGGUUCUCGCAUCGAUGAAGAACGCAGCGAAAUGCGAUAAGUAAUGUGAAUUGCAGAAUUCAGUGAAUCAUCGAAUCUUUGAACGCACAUUGCGCCCCUUGGUAUUCCGAGGGGCAUGCCUGUUCGAGCGUCAUUACACCACUCAAGCUAUGCUUGGUAUUGGGUGCCGUCCUUAGUUGGGCGCGCCUUAAAGACCUCGGCGAGGCCUCACCGGCUUUAGGCGUAGUAGAAUUUAUUCGAACGUCUGUCAAAGGAGAGGACUUCUGCCGACUGAAACCUUUAUUUUUCUAGGUUGACCUCGGAUCAGGUAGGGAUACCCGCUGAACUUAAGCAUAUCAAUAAGUCG
rnacentral:rRNA from 1 species